UUAAAAAGCUCGUAGUUGGAUUUCUGGGAAGGCGCCAUGCUAGCUUCUUGCUUUCGCAACGGCACCUUUCCAUCCUUCUGUUAGCGCCUCUUGGCAUUCAUUUGCUGGUGGCGGGCUCAGAUAUUUUACCUUGAGAAAAUUAGAGUGUUUCAGGCAGGCUACGCCGGAAUACAUUAGCAUGGAAUAAUGGAAUAGGACUGAGGUCUCUUUGUUGGUUUGAGGGACUCCAGUAAUGAUUAAUAGGGACAGUUGGGGGCAUUAGUAUUUAUUAGUCAGAGGUGGAAUUCUAUGAUUUGAUAAAGACUAACUUAUGCGAAAGCAUUUGCCAAGGAUGUUUUCAUUAAU
rnacentral:rRNA from 1 species